rnacentral:rRNA from 1 species
AUUGAACGCUGGCGGCAGGCCUAACACAUGCAAGUCGAGCGGGGUUUUCGGACCUAGCGGCGGACGGGUGAGUAAUGCGUAGGAAGCUACCCGAUAGAGGGGGAUACCAGUUGGAAACGACUGUUAAUACCGCAUAAUGUCUACGGACCAAAGUGUGGGACCUUCGGGCCACAUGCUAUCGGAUGCGCCUACGUGGGAUUAGCUAGUUGGUGAGGUAAUGGCUCACCAAGGCGACGAUCCCUAGCUGGUUUGUGAGGAUGAUCAGCCACACUGGAACUGAGACACGGUCCAGACUCCUACGGGAGGCAGCAGUGGGGAAUAUUGGACAAUGGGCGCAAGCCUGAUCCAGCCAUGCCGCGUGUGUGAAGAAGGCCUUCGGGUUGUAAAGCACUUUCAGUAGGGAGGAAGCGUUGCGUGUUAAUAGUACACAGCGUUGACGUUACCUACAGAAGAAGCACCGGCUAACUCUGUGCCAGCAGCCGCGGUAACAC